GACGAACGCUGGCGGCGUGCCUAAUACAUGCAAGUAGAACGCACAGUUUAUACCGUAGCUUGCUACACCAUAGACUGUGAGUUGCGAACGGGUGAGUAACGCGUAGGUAACCUGCCUGGUAGCGGGGGAUAACUAUUGGAAACGAUAGCUAAUACCGCAUAAUAUUAAUUAUUGCAUGAUAAUUGAUUAAAAGGUGCAAUUGCACCACUACCAGAUGGACCUGCGUUGUAUUAGCUAGUAGGUGAGGUAACGGCUCACCUAGGCGACGAUACAUAGCCGACCUGAGAGGGUGAUCGGCCACACUGGGACUGAGACACGGCCCAGACUCCUACGGGAGGCAGCAGUAGGGAAUCUUCGGCAAUGGACGAAAGUCUGACCGAGCAACGCCGCGUGAGUGAAGAAGGUUUUCGGAUCGUAAAGCUCUGUUGUAAGAGAAGAACGGGUGUGAGAGUGGAAAGUUCACACUGUGACGGUAUCUUACCAGAAAGGGACGGCUAACUACGUGCCAGCAGCCGCGGUAAUACGUAGGUCCCGAGCGUUGUCCGGAUUUAUUGGGCGUAAAGCGAGCGCAGGCGGUUAGAUAAGUCUGAAGUUAAAGGCUGUGGCUUAACCAUAGUACGCUUUGGAAACUGUUUAACUUGAGUGCAGAAGGGGAGAGUGGAAUUCCAUGUGUAGCGGUGAAAUGCGUAGAUAUAUGGAGGAACACCGGUGGCGAAAGCGGCUCUCUGGUCUGUAACUGACGCUGAGGCUCGAAAGCGUGGGGAGCGAACAGG
rnacentral:rRNA from 1 species